rnacentral:rRNA from 1 species
UGAGUAACACGUACCCAACCUGCCGUCUACUCUUGGACAGCCUUCUGAAAGGAAGAUUAAUACAAGAUGGCAUCAUGAGUCCGCAUGUUCACAUGAUUAAAGGUAUUCCGGUAGACGAUGGGGAUGCGUUCCAUUAGAUAGUAGGCGGAGUAACGGCCCACCUAGUCUUCGAUGGAUAGGGGUUCUGAGAGGAAGGUCCCCCACAUUGGAACUGAGACACGGUCCAA